GAUGAACGCUGGCGGCGUGCCUAAUACAUGCAAGUCGAGCGAACGGACGAGAAGCUUGCUUCUCUGAUGUUAGCGGCGGACGGGUGAGUAACACGUGGAUAACCUACCUAUAAGACUGGGAUAACUUCGGGAAACCGGAGCUAAUACCGGAGAAUAUUUUGAACCGCAUGGUUCAAAGGUGAAAGACGGUCUUGCUGUCACUUAUAGAUGGAUCCGCGCUGCAUUAGCUAGUUGGUAAGGUAACGGCUUACCAAGGCAACGAUGCAUAGCCGACCUGAGAGAGUGAUCGGCCACACUGGAACUGAGCCACGGUCCAGACUCCUACGGGAGGCAGCAGUAGGGAAUCUUCCGCAAUGGGCGAAAGCCUGACGGAGCAACGCCGCGUGAGUGAUGAAGGUCUUCGGAUCGUAAAACUCUGUUAUUAGGGAAGAACAUAUGUGUACGUAACUGUGCACAUCUUGACGGUACCUAAUCAGAAAGCCACGGCUAACUACGUG
rnacentral:rRNA from 1 species